GCGAAACUGCGAAUGGCUCAUUAAAUCAGUUAUCGUCUAUUUGAUAGUACCUUACUACUUGGAUAACCGUGGUAAUUCUAGAGCUAAUACAUGCUGAAAACCCCGACUUCGGAAGGGGAUGUAUUUAUUAGAUUAAAAAACCAAUGCCCUUCGGGGCUCCCUGGUGAUUCAUGAUAACUUCUCGAAUCGCACGGCCUUGCGCCGGCGAUGGUUCAUUCAAAUUUCUGCCCUAUCAACUUUCGACGGCUGGGUAUUGGCCAGCCGUGGUGACAACGGGUAACGGAGGGUUAGGGCUCGACCCCGGAGAAGGAGCCUGAGAAACGGCUACUACAUCUAAGGAAGGCAGCAGGCGCGCAAAUUACCCAAUCCCGACGCGGGGAGGUAGUGACAAUAAAUACUGAUACAGGGCUCUUUAGGGUCUUGUAAUUGGAAUGAGUACAGUUUAAUUCCCUUAACGAGGAACAAUUGGAGGGCAAGUCUGGUGCCAGCAGCCGCGGUAAUUCCAGCUCCAAUAGCGUAUAUUAAAGUUGUUGCAGUUAAAAAGCUCGUAGUUGAACCUUGGGCCUGGCUGGCCGGUCCGCCUCACCGCGUGCACUGGUCCGGCCGGGCCUUUCCCUCUGGGGAGCCGCAUGCCCUUCACUGGGCGUGUCGGGGAACCAGGACGUUUACUUUGAAAAAAUUAGAGUGUUCAAAGCAGGCUUAUGCUCGGAUACAUUAGCAUGGAAUAAUGGAAUAGGACGUGCGGUUCUAUUUUGUUGGUUUCUAGGACCGCCGUAAUGAUUAAUAGGGACAGUCGGGGGCAUCAGUAUUCAGCUGUCAGAGGUGAAAUUCUUGGAUUUGCUGAAGACUAACUACUGCGAAAGCAUUUGCCAAGGAUGUUUUCAUUAAUCAGGAACGAAAGUUAGGGGAUCGAAGACGAUCAGAUACCGUCGUAGUCUUAACCAUAAACUAUGCCGACUAGGGAUCGGACGCUGUUGUCUAUUGACGCGUUCGGCACCUUACACGAAAGUACA
rnacentral:rRNA from 1 species